GACAGAGGUGCCGAGCGUUAGGCGGAAUCACUGGGCUUAAAGCGUGUGUAGGCGGACCGUUAAGUACCUUGUGAAAUCCCACGGCUCAACCGUGGAACGGCUGGGUAUACUGGCGGUCUUGGGCCACUCAGGGGCGAGCGGAACAAGUGGUGGAGCGGUGAAAUGCGUAGAUAUCACUUGGAACGCCGACGGUGAAAACAGCUCGCUGGGAGUGUGCCGACGCCGAGACACGAAAGCCAGGGGAGCGAACGGG
rnacentral:rRNA from 1 species